GAAGCAUAGUCUUUUGUCUCCUCAUUUUGUUUAACUUUCUGUCUCUUUCUAUGAAGUUAGGUGAAACAGUAGCCUGUCCUGGAUUGAAGGUGUGUCCUUGUCAACUUUGCCUGUGUCCUGUGCCUUUGGAGGUGCAUCAAAGCUUCUAUGUGAGUAUGGAGAUCUAGGCACAGGAAGAGGAAGUGAUCUUCCCGAGAUUCUAGAGAAAAAACUGGCACUGUGAUUCCUGUAGUCAAGGUAUUAUCAUAUUCAUAUGAUAUUUAUUCUUAUUGUUGUUGUUUAGUCACUCA
ensembl:lncRNA